rnacentral:rRNA from 1 species
CGUGUAGGCUGCUUAGAAAGUCGGAUGUGAAAGCCCUGGGCUCAACCUAGGAAGUGCAUUCGAAACUUCUAAGCUUGAGUUUCGGAGAGGAAGGCGGAAUUCUCGGUGUAGAGGUGAAAUUCGUAGAUAUCGAGAGGAACAUCGGUGGCGAAGGCGGCCUUCUGGACGAUGACUGACGCUGAGACGCGAAAGCGUGGGGAGCAAACA